UACGUAGGGGGCAAGCGUUAUCCGGAUUUACUGGGUGUAAAGGGAGCGCAGACGGCAGCGCAAGUCUGAUGUGAAAUCCCGGGGCUCAACCCCGGAACUGCAUUGGAAACUGCGCAGCUCGAGUAUCGGAGAGGUAAGCGGAAUUCCUAGUGUAGCGGUGAAAUGCGUAGAUAUUAGGAGGAACACCGGCGGCGAAGGCGGCUUCCUGGUCUGUAACUGACACUGAGGCGCGAAAGCGUGGGGAGCAAACAGGAUUAGAUACCCUGGUA
rnacentral:rRNA from 1 species